rnacentral:rRNA from 1 species
AUUGAACGCUGGCGGCAGGCCUAACACAUGCGAGUCGAGCGGAUGAAGGGAGCUUGCUCCUGGAUUCAGCGGCGGACGGGUGAGUAAUGCCUAGGAAUCUGCCUGGUAGUGGGGGAUAACGUCCGGAAACGGGCGCUAAUACCGCAUACGUCCUGAGGGAGAAAGUGGGGGAUCUUCGGACCUCACGCUAUCAGAUGAGCCUAGGUCGGAUUAGCUAGUUGGUGGGGUAAAGGCCUACCAAGGCGACGAUCCGUAACUGGUCUGAGAGGAUGAUCAGUCACACUGGAACUGAGACACGGUCCAGACUCCUACGGGAGGCAGCAGUGGGGAAUAUUGGACAAUGGGCGAAAGCCUGAUCCAGCCAUGCCGCGUGUGUGAAGAAGGUCUUCGGAUUGUAAAGCACUUUAAGUUGGGAGGAAGGGCAGUAAGUUAAUACCUUGCUGUUCUGACGUUACCAACAGAAUAAGCACCGGCUAACUUCGUG